UACGUAGGGUGCGAGCGUUAAUCGGAAUUACUGGGCGUAAAGCGUGCGCAGGCGGCGCGUUAAGACAGGUGUGAAAGCCCCCGAGCUUAACUUGGGAAUUGCGCUUGUGACUGGCGUGCUGGAGUGUGGCAGAGGGAGGUGGAAUUCCACGUGUAGCAGUGAAAUGCGUAGAGAUGUGGAGGAACACCGAUGGCGAAGGCAGCCUCCUGGGCCAGCACU
rnacentral:rRNA from 1 species